CCUACGGGAGGCUGCAGUCGGGAAUAUUGCGCAAUGGAGGAAACUCUGACGCAGUGACGCCGCGUGCAGGAAGAAGGUUUUCGGAUUGUAAACUGCUUUAGACAGGGAAGAAAAAAGCCAGUACCUGUAGAAUAAGCCCCGGCCAACUACGUGCCAGCAGCCGCGGUAAUACGUAGGGGGCAAGCGUUAUCCGGAUUUCUUGGGUGUAAAGGGGGGGCAGGCGGGGGGGCAAGCCAGGAGUGAAAGCCCGGGGCCCAACCCCGGGACUGCUCUUGGAACUGCGGGGCUAGAGUGCAGGAGGGGCAGGCGGAAUUCCUGGUGUAGCGGUGAAAUGCGUAGAUAUCAGGAGGAACACCAGUGGCGAAGGCGGCCUGCUGGACUGCAACUGACGGUGAGGCCCGAAAGCGUGGGGAGCAAACAGGAUUAGAUACCCGGGUAGUC
rnacentral:rRNA from 1 species